rnacentral:rRNA from 1 species
AUGAACGCUAGCGGCAGGCCUAAUACAUGCAAGUCGAACGGUAGAUCGGGUAGCAAUACUUGAUUGAGAGUGACGUAAGGGUGCGUAACACGUAUGCAAUCUACCCUCAACAGGAGUAUAGCUCGGGGAAACUCGGAUUAACACUCCAUAACAUUACGAUGUGGCAUCACAUUGUGAUUAAAACUCCGGUGGUUGAGGAUGAGCAUGCGUCUGAUUAGUUAGUUGGAGGUGUAACGGACCCCCAAGACGGUGAUCAGUAGGGGAACUGAGAGGUUCGAUCCCCCACACUGGCACUGAGAUACGGGCCAGACUCCUACGGGAGGCAGCAGUAGGGAAUAUUGGUCAAUGGGUGAGAGCCUGAACCAGCCAUGCCGCGUGCAGGAAGACGGCCUUCUGGGUUGUAAACUGCUUUUAUCUGGGGAUAAAAAGCCCAUGCGUGGGACAUUGAAGGUACCAGAUGAAUAAGCACCGGCUAACUACGUG